GGCGGAGCCAGGGCUGAAGGGGGCGGAGCCAGGGCUGAAGGGGCGGAGCCAGCACCCAAAGGGGUUGGGUCUGGGGGGGCGGAGCCAGGGCCCAAAGGGGGCGGAGCCAGGGCCGAAGGGGGGCCCGAAGGGGGCGGAGCCAGGGCCCGAAGGGGGCAGUCCCAGGGCCCGAAGGGGGCGGAGCCAGGGCCCAAAGGGGGCGGAGCCAGGGCUGAAGGGGG